GCAUGUAUGGCUGAGCGGUCGAAAGCGACAGACUCAUAAUCUGUUUUCGUAAGAACGUCACAGGUUCGAGUCCUGUUGCAUGUA
rnacentral:tRNA from 1 species